GAGUUUGAUCCUGGCUCAGGAUGAACGCUAGCGGCAGGCCUAACACAUGCAAGUCGAGGGGUAACAUAGAAAAGCUUGCUUUUCUGAUGACGACCGGCGCACGGGUGCGUAACGCGUAUACAAUCUGCCUUAUACUGGGGUAUAGCCUUUAGAAAUGAAGAUUAAUCCCCCAUAGCCUCUUUUAAUGGCAUCAUUAUAAGAGUAAAGGUUACGGUAUAAGAUGAGUAUGCGUUCUAUUAGUUUGUUGGUGAGGUAACGGCUCACCAAGACUGCGAUAGAUAGGGGCCCUGAGAGGGGGAUCCCCCACACUGGUACUGAGACACGGUCCAUACUCCUACGGGAGGCAGCAGUGGGGAAUAUUGCGCAAUGGACGAAAGUCUGACGCAGCGAUUCCGCGUGGAGGAUGAAGCAUUAAGGUGUGUAAACUUCUUUUCUGGAGGAAGACGAAUGACGGUACUCCAGGAAUAAGGGACGGCUAACUACGUGCCAGCAGCCGCGGUAAUACGUAGGUCCCAAGCGUUAUCCGGAGUUACUGGGCGUAAAGCGUCUGUAGCCGGGCUUAUAAGUCUAUUUUCAAAUAUCACGACUCAAUCGUGAAGAGGGAGUAGAUACUGUAGGCCUAGAGGAUUUUAGGGGUUAGUGGAAUUUCCGGUGGAGCGGUGAAAUGCGUUAAUAUCGGAAGGAAUGCCGAAAGCGAAAGCAGCUAACUAUAAAAUAACUGACGGUCAGAGACGAAAGCAUGGGUAGCAAACGGGAUUAGAUACCCCGGUAGUCCAUGCCGUAAAUGAUGCUUGCUAGAUGUUUGGCUAUAUGCUGAGUAUCGUACCUAACGGGUUAAGCAAGCCGCCUGGGUAGUAUAUUCGCAAGAAUGAAACUCAAAGGGAUAGGCGGGGGAACACACAAGCAGUGGAUCUUCUGGAUUAAUUGGAUAAUAAGCCAAGAAUCUUACCUAGGCUUGACAUGUACUUUGUCGUAUGUGAAAGCGUGCUAGUCACACUUUGUGUGACAGGGUAUACAGGUGGUGCAUGGUCGUCGUCAGCUCGUGCCGCAAGGUGUCCAGUUAAGUCUGGUAACGAGCGCAACCCUCGUCUCUAGUUAGUAUGUCUAGAGAGACUGCCUGAGUAAUCAGGAGGAAGGAGAGGAUGACGUCAGAUCCUCAUGCCCCUUAUGCCUAGGGCGUCAUAGAAGAUACAAUGGGUAGGACAGCGAGCAGCAAUACCGCGAGGUGGAGCCAAUCUUUAAACCUACCCCUAGUUCGGAUUGUAGUCUGGAACUCGACUACAUGAAGUCGGAAUUGCUAGUAAUGGCGGGUCAGCCAUACCGCCGUGAAUAUGUCCCUGUUCCUUGCACUCACCGCCCGUC
rnacentral:rRNA from 1 species